GGAUAUCAAAUGUCAAUAGAGUGGUUGUACCUUUUUGAUACAACCGAACCAUUGUAACCAUCUGAGAACGAUCAACAACAGGAAGGCACCCACAUCUCUAUAAUGAUAGAAGACCUCUAGACUUAAUAUUUAAUGAGAAGAUUUAUAUUUAAAUCUCUUCUAAAUCAGCAGAUCUGAUAUCCGAUUGAUUAAAUUCAGGUCAACACAUCAACAUGUCUAACCAGCC
rnacentral:lncRNA from 1 species